CGGGGAAUAUUGCACAAUGGGCGCAAGCCUGAUGCCGCCAUGCCGCGUGUAUGAAGAAGGCCUUCGGGUUGUAAAGUACUUUCAGCGGGGAGGAAGGCGAUAAGGUUAAUAACCUUGUCGAUUGACGUUACCCGCAGAAGAAGCACCGGCUAACUCCGUGCCAGCAGCCGCGGUAAUACGGAGGGCGCAAGCGUUAAUCGGAAUUAAUGGGCGUAAAGCGCACGCAGGCGGUCUGUCAAGUCGGAUGUGAAAUCCCCGGGCGCAACCUGGGAACUGCAUUCGAAACUGGCAGGCUAGAGUCUUGUAGAGGGGGGUAGAAUUCCAGGUGUAGCGGUGAAAUGCGUAGAGAUCUGGAGGAAUACCGGUGGCGAAGGCGGCCCCCUGGACAAAGACUGACGCUCAGGUGCGAAAGCGUGGGGAGCAAACA
rnacentral:rRNA from 1 species